GACGAACGCUGGCGGCGUGCUUAACACAUGCAAGUCGAACGAUGAACCCGGAGCUUGCUCCGGCGGAUUAGUGGCGAACGGGUGAGUAACACGUGAGUAACCUGCCCUUGACUCUGGGAUAACUGCUAGAAAUGGUAGCUAAUACCGGAUACGACCCUCGGUGGCAUCACCAGGGGGUGGAAAGAAUUUCGGUCAAGGAUGGACUCGCGGCCUUUCAGCUAGUUGGUGAGGUAACGGCUCACCAAGGCGACGACGGGUAGCCGGCCUGAGAGGGUGACCGGCCACACUGGGACUGAGACACGGCCCAGACUCCUACGGGAGGCAGCAGUGGGGAAUAUUGCACAAUGGGCGCAAGCCUGAUGCAGCAACGCCGCGUGAGGGAUGACGGCCUUCGGGUUGUAAACCUCUUUUAGUAGGGAAGGAGCGAAAGUGACGGUACCUGCAGAAAAAGCACCGGCUAACUACGUGCCAGCCGCCGCCGUAA
rnacentral:rRNA from 1 species